GGCUCAGAUUGAACGCUGGCGGAAUGCUUUACACAUGCAAGUCGAACGGCAGCACGGACUUCGGUCUGGUGGCGAGUGGCGAACGGGUGAGUAAUAUAUCGGAACGUGCCCAGUCGUGGGGGAUAACGUAGUGAAAAUUACGCUAAUACCGCAUACGAUCUAAGGAUGAAAGCGGGGGAUCGCAAGACCUCGCGCGAUUGGAGCGGCCGAUAUCAGAUUAGGUAGUUGGUGAGGUAAAGGCUCACCAAGCCAACGAUCUGUAGCUGGUCUGAGAGGACGAUCAGCCACACUGGGACUGAGACACGGCCCAGACUCCUACGGGAGGCAGCAGUGGGGAAUUUGGACAAUGGGGGAAACCCUGAUCCAGCAAUGCCGCGUGCAGGAAGAAGGCCUUCGGGUUGUAAACUGCUUUUGUACGGAGCGAAAAGGCUCUCUCUAAUACAGGGGGCUCAUGACGGUACCGUAAGAAUAAGCACCGGCUAACUACGUG
rnacentral:rRNA from 1 species